rnacentral:sRNA from 1 species
GUCAGUUUAUGUUGUCCAGACGUUGAAAAAUGUCUCAAUAAAACCAUAUAUAAAGGUAGGCAACUCUUUGAAAGUGCAAACCUGUAGUUUGUUGGUAAACUUCAACACAAAAUGCUCGUCUUCGCUCUUGUAUUGUGCUUGCCAGUGUUGGCCUUUGGUCAAGUGGACGUCAACGCGCUCGCCAACUAUGAGUUCAACAGGUUUGACAUUGACCAGGAUGGUAACAUUGAGCCACUAGAAGU